CCCUCAUCGAUAACGCCCUGAGCAAAAAGCCGCAGGUGGUGCAGAUUGAGGCGAGUGACAAAGCGUUCAAGACCACCGGCUGCCAGCCCUGGCAGCAGACGAGUGACGCCACCGCACCAACCGAUCUCUCCGGGCCGGCAGCAGGGGCUCAACUGCAAAACAAUCUCGGGAUCCUCAAUGGGCUGCUCGCCCCAAACGGACAGCAAGUG
rnacentral:ncRNA from 1 species